CCUAGGGGGAGCAGCAGUGAGGAAUAUUGGUCAAUGGACGCAAGUCUGAACCAGCCAUGCCGCGUGCAGGAUGACGGCCCUAUGAGUUGUAAACUGCUUUUGUACGAGGGUAAACCCCGAUACGUGUAUCGGGUUGAAAGUAUCGUACGAAUAAGGAUCGGCUAAAUCCGUGCCAGCAGCCGAGGUAAUACGGAGGGUCCGAGCGUUAUCCGGAUUUAUUGGGUUUAAAGGGUGCGUAGGCGGAUUGAUAAGUGAGAGGUGAAAGGUCGGGGCUCAACCCGGAAACUGCCUCUAAUACUGUUGGGCUAGAGAAUAGUUGAGGUAGGCGGAAUGUGUGGUGUAGCGGUGAAAUGCUUAGAGAUCACACAGAACACCGAUUGCGAAGGCAGCUUACCAAACUGUAUCUGACGUUGAGGCACGAAAGCGUGGGUAGCAAACAGGAUUAGAUACCCCGGUAGUC
rnacentral:rRNA from 1 species